rnacentral:lncRNA from 1 species
AAGGGUGCCUUUUUGGAGCAAUGUCCCCAUUCGGUCCAUUGAUAUGAACCACUUCAUUGAAUGUCUUAGACGGAAAGAAGACUGAAUAAUGAUUGGAAGAACGCCGGAGUCAUCAAGCUCUUUUGAUAACUGCAUAUGUGAACUAGGUCAAGUCACUCUCCCUCAACGGAUCACCAGUUUACCCAACUGUACAUGGCAACAAUUUUGAACUGAACGUUCUUCCUUCUACAGCCAAAAUUCUUCGUUUGCUACGUUUGUGAAGUG